GAUGAACGCUAGCGACAGGCUUAACACAUGCAAGUCGAGGGGCAGCAUGAUUUGUAGCAAUACAGAUUGAUGGCGACCGGCGCACGGGUGAGUAACACGUAUCCAACCUGCCGACAACACUGGGAUAGCCUUUCGAAAGAAAGAUUAAUACCGGAUGGCAUAGUUUUCCCGCAUGGGAUAAUUAUUAAAGAAUUUCGGUUGUCGAUGGGGAUGCGUUCCAUUAGGCAGUUGGCGGGGUAACGGCCCACCAAACCAACGAUGGAUAGGGGUUCUGAGAGGAAGGUCCCCCACAUUGGAACUGAGACACGGUCCAAACUCCUACGGGAGGCAGCAGUGAGGAAUAUUGGUCAAUGGACGAGAGUCUGAACCAGCCAAGUAGCGUGAAGGAUGACUGCCCUAUGGGUUGUAAACUUCUUUAUACGGGAAUAAAGUUAGCCACGUGUGGUUUUUUGUAUGUACCGUAUGAAUAAGGAUCGGGCUAACUCCGUG
rnacentral:rRNA from 1 species